AGCCUGGAGCUGGUGUCCUGCAAGUGCUGGGGUCGGAGGCUCGCACAGCCAGGUCACAUGGGUCGCCGGGACAGUCCUUGCUUCCAGCCAGCCUGGAGCCUCGGGUGGGAAGGGAGGCCCUGGCUGAGGGGCUCCCGUGAGCGGGGGCAGCGGCUGGCCCGCCCUCUGCACUGCAGAACGUGGUAGACGCCGGGAGGCUUCUGUCAGCCCACAUUGAUGACCUCGCAGUCGCCGCGGGUCACUCGUCUGCUUCCUGGGGACUGGGCCCAGUGCUUGGGGUCGGCUGGGCUCAUCUGGGGCUCAGGACCCCCUCCCAGUGCACAUGGUGGGACAGGAUCCAGCUCCUUGCAGCCGUGUGACCGAGGGCCCCACUUCCUGGCUGGCUGGUGGCCGGGGACCACGGGCCGCUCCUCAAGGCCACUGUGGGUCUGGACCACGUGGCCCCUCACAUGACAGCUUAUUUUGUUUACAAGGCCUGCGGGACAGGCUUGUGUCUCUGACUUUCAGCAUCUCUGCUCUCUACACUUUCACUGAUGAGCUCACCUAACUAGGUCAGGCCCACCAAGAUAAUCUCUGUUGAUGAAUUGAAAGUCAUCUGAUUAAGGCCCUUAGUUACACCAGCCAAGGCCACAUGAUGCAGGAGCGGCAGAAGCGACAGCCAGCACACCGCCAGGUCUGGUGUGGGACUGACCGGCUCCAGCCAGACCAUGUUCUACGCAGAGGUGACGGAUUCCCAGCGGAGCGGCCUGGGGGGGGGCCUGGCAGAGGAGGGCGAGCUCAUCGAGGUGGUGCACCUGCCCCUGGAUGGUGCCCGGGCCUUCGCAGAUGACCCGGACAUCCCCAAGACCCUCGGCGUCAUCUUUGGCAUCUCAUGGUUCCUCAGCUGUGUGGCCCCUGGGCUGGGUCCCCGGUGAGACCCCAGGGGGUCGAGGCAAGGUCGUCCUGGCCACCUGCCCUGCAGAUCAAAUAAAGGCUUGUGUAACUCCA